rnacentral:rRNA from 1 species
UACGAAGGGGGCUAGCGUUGCUCGGAAUCACUGGGCGUAAAGCGCACGUAGGCGGCUUUUUAAGUCAGAGGUGAAAUCCUGGAGCUCAACUCCAGAACUGCCUUUGAUACUGGAGAGCUUGAGUCCGGGAGAGGUGAGUGGAACUGCGAGUGUAGAGGUGAAAUUCGUAGAUAUUCGCAAGAACACCAGUGGCGAAGGCGGCUCACUGGCCCGGUACUGACGCUGAGGAGCGAAAGCGUGGGGAGCGAACAGG